UAGGUAGGUGUGCCCACAUGUGUGUGCGCGCGCACACACACACACACACACACACACACACACACACACACACACACACACAU
rnacentral:miRNA from 1 species